GCGCCCCGGACGCGGAAGGCGACAGCGCGGAGCCUCGUGUGGCGCAGGCGACAGCGUCCACCUGGCGCUGGACACAGCAGUGACCUCCUCCGCCACGGGCGGGCGGGCGCUGGCUUCCGUGCGCUCUCUGCUCGGGGUUUCAGACUAUGGAAAUGAUAGCUGGAGCUGAGGCAGCCAUCUUAGACCAUGAAGUCCAGAAGGACAGUGAACUGAAGCUUAUUUAGUGCACAAGACCUUUCCAGCCCCGUUUGCCCUGCAGAAUGUACUCUCUUGUGACGCUGAGCUCCAGGCAGCCCUCCCUGUGCUGCCCUUCUGUACAGAUCCCCCCACAGACAGUCACAGGAGUGUGCUCUCCCGUCUCUCUCUACCGAAUGCAUGACAGCCCUCUUGGACCGUUCUCAUCUGACAAGUUCAGGCCAGAAAGGUGUGAGACAGAGAAGCCACCGUUACCCUGCUUUACAUUUGGUCUUAGUCUGACUUUUGGAGCAACUAUGGCAGAGCAGCUCAUUAGCAGGGCCCCUGGUCACACGGCCAUGGAGGUUGCUAAGGACAGAGCCGUUUCCAGGGUGAGACUUGUCCUGACGUCCAGCGCUGUCCCUGUGCUUGGUCCUGCAUGGCACAGGGCUGGUGGCCGUGGGCUGACCUCUGAGGAGUCCCUUCCCUCUGCAGCUGCCCUCCCAGGGCCUGGCUCUCAGGUGCCAUCCACAUGUGCUUCUCGGGUGAGUCAGAGGCCUCCUGGCCGCGCCCCAGGACGGGCAGAAGGGGGCUCCUGCCUACGGUCCUAGCAUCCAGCAAUGCACGUCAUCGGAACACUCUGAGACACCUGCCUGGUGGACACCGGGCCCUGUGUCCCUCAGACUGGGUCUCAAGUCCGUCCCUUUGGCCCAGGGAUACAGCUCAGCAGCACAAGCAGCUGCCUGGCAAGUGUGAAAUUGUGAGUUCGAUUCCUGGUACGGGGUGGUGGGGGUCUAUUCCUUAUUUGUCUUUGCCGCGGGACCCACGGCAAUAGCUUCUCCUGUGGGGCCUCAGUUUCCUGACCUGGGAAGGAGAGCAGCGUGAUAUCCCCCCCAAGGGGCGUGGAGAUGGGGGUCAGGUGACAGGAGCACAGGACACAGCCAGUGUCCUGCACAGGGCUGAGUGGGGGUCUCCUGCGCCUGUGCGGCCGUCACCGUCCCCUCCCCCACCACGUAACAGUGAAACGCCACCGGUUGUGGCUCAGAAACGGCAGAAGCUGUUCAGGAUCACGAGGCCGAGGCCGAGAGGGCCGGGCUGAGACCUCCGCAGGGCCGGAGUCUGGCGAUUGCCUCUGCAGGCCCUGUCUCCUGGCGCUGUGUGGGUGGAGGGCUGAGCCGGCUCUGCAGGGUCUCUACCAGGGCAUCGCCCAUUUUUAUAGAACUAGAUAUCUUAUUUUAGAUAAAAUAGUAUAUAUACUCUGCUAGAGAACAUAAUGUAACAAUAUUUGCUCAAGUAAUAAAAGGGUUAAGGAAUGAUUCCAGUUGUAAUCGAAGGAAUGAAAGAUAAAUAUUUUCCAAAUAAAGCUCUCAAAUAUUUACAUAAUGGAAUACUGAAUACAUGACUUCCAGUUAACAUGUGUUUGUGUCAGUGCCAAAAAGCCACAACCAAUUUUAUUUUUUAGACAGAGGUCACUGUGUAGCUCAAACUGGCCUUGAACUCACAGCAACCCUGCUGCCUCAGCCUCUUGCGCACAGGGAUUACAGGCAUACUCCUCCACACUCGGCCAACAAAUCUAAUAAACAAAUGAUAGAUUUCUAGAUGAGUUUUUCAUGCGCAAUGUUAGUUCAGAAUGAUGCAAAAGUCUUAAAAACAGAGUCUAGGGGCUGGGGAUUUAGCUCAGUGGCACAAGCACCUGCCUUGGAAUCCGGCAGUCGUGACCCUGAUGUCCCCGAGCAGAGCUACAGAGCUAAGGAGGGAAAAGCGAUGCAGAAGCCGCCAAGGCAGAGAGAGCCAGGCGCGAAAAGCCCGCCCUUGCCGCAUUUGAGACUUUUGUUUUUAAAGCGCUCAGAUUCCUGCAA